rnacentral:rRNA from 1 species
AUUGAAUGCUGGCGGCAGGCCUAACACAUGCAAGUCGAACGGUAACAGGAAGAAGCUUGCUUCUUUGCUGACGAGUGGCGGACGGGUGAGUAAUGUCUGGGAAACUGCCUGAUGGAGGGGGAUAACUACUGGAAACGGUAGCUAAUACCGCAUAACGUCGCAAGACCAAAAAGGGGGACCUUCGGGCCUCUUGCCAUCGGAUGUGCCCAGAUGGGAUUAGCUAGUAGGUGGGGUAACGGCUCACCUAGGCGACGAUCCCUAGCUGGUCUGAGAGGAUGACCAGCCACACUGGAACUGAGACACGGUCCAGACUCCUACGGGAGGCAGCAGUGGGGAAUAUUGCACAAAGGGCGCAAGCCUGAUGCAGCCAUGCCGCGUGUAUGAAGAAGGCCUUCGGGUUGUAAAGUACUUUCAGCGGGGAGGAAGGGAGUAAAGUUAAUACCUUUGCUCAUUGACGUUACCCGCAGAAGAAGCACCGGCUAACUCCGUG